rnacentral:sRNA from 1 species
AGGCAGGGGCGGGGCUUCAGCCCCCGGCUCACCUGCGCGGCAUCGAAGCGACGCAGCCCGGCCAAGUGAAGCUGCACCAGCGACCGGAAGGCCCGGCUAACGCGCUGCAGCCGGAGCAGCUGGCGCAGCGGGACCCGGUUCAGGACGUGUGGGAGCAGCACGUCUUCCCAGGGCAGGUCCAGGAACCUGCGAGUAAAGGGGCGUUGGCACUGGCGUCCCGGGGCCACUAUUACCUGCGAGUCCGCCUCCGUUAUGUUCCUGCGCCCCAGCUCCCAAGAGCGGCCCCCAGACCCAGCCCCGGCUCGGCUCCCCUCCCUCAGGUUCCUCUUCCCUCUCGGCCCCUCCGGUGCUCGGUACCUGACGGCUCCGGGCUCUUGCUCCCCUCCGGACGGCUCCAUCGGUGGCUCCAUCGGCUGUCUAUUGCGCGUGCGCAGUAAGAUUUUCUCGCUUUGGCCUUGGAGUGGCCGCACCAAACCCGCCUCCUUGGCCUGUAGAGACAGACCUAUUUAAUCGAGUGCCGUCUCACCGAGGAUCCGAUCUGAAAGCUUUUCGGGUGGACCCCGAAACGGAGGCGGAACAGACCGGUGGUGUAACAUUAGGCCUUGCCUUCUCGGCUACAGGGCUUGAGGCCUGAAGCUGGAGAAUGCGGUCCCAGUCCCAGGAUCCGCUUCGGGGAACCCCAGGAGUAGCGCCUUCCCCCAUCAUCCACGGGAUGGGUGUGGGGGGAUGUGAAGGACGCGAGAGCCACUGCACCGCUGACGGUCUGGCGCUCCUUCGGUGCAACCGCUUCAGCUGGCUCAUCACAACGAAAACCACUUCUCAUCUGUUAUCUCGUCAAGGCUUCGGGCACCUCUGAAAGCUCAGCUGGGCCCAGCCUCUCCUCUGUCUCUCCUCGGUCUCAGCUCUGGGCGAGCAGCGGCCUGUCUGAAGAGCAUGCAGCCCCCUUACUCCCCGCCUGGCCUCGCCAUCCCUGCCCCCCCAGCCUGACCCCCGGCCCCAGCAUGGCCCAGGGUGCCAUGCGCUUCUGCUCGGAAGGCGACUGUGCCAUCUCCCCACCACGAUGCCCACGCCGCUGGCUCCCCGAAGGCCCGGUGCCCCAGAGCCCCCCAGCCAGCAUGUAUGGCAGCACAGGCUCCUUGCUACGGCGAGUGGCAGGUCCAGGUCCUCGAGGCCGGGAACUGGGACGUGUGACAGCACCCUGUACACCUCUGCGUGGCCCCCCCUCACCCCGUGUUGCUCCCUCACCCUGGGCACCCUCUUCACCCACUGGGCAGCCCCCACCCGGGGCCCAGAGCUCUGUGGUCAUCUUCCGCUUUGUGGAGAAGGCCAG